rnacentral:rRNA from 1 species
GACGAACGCUGGCGGCGUGCCUAAUACAUGCAAGUUGAGCGCUGAAGGUUGGUACUUGUACCAACUGGAUGAGCAGCGAACGGGUGAGUAACGCGUGGGGAAUCUGCCUUUGAGCGGGGGACAACAUUUGGAAACGAAUGCUAAUACCGCAUAAAAACUUUAAACACAAGUUUUAAGUUUGAAAGAUGCAAUUGCAUCACUCAAAGACGAUCCCGCGUUGUAUUAGCUAGUUGGUGAGGUAAAGGCUCACCAAGGCGAUGAUACAUAGCCGACCUGAGAGGGUGAUCGGCCACAUUGGGACUGAGACACGGCCCAAACUCCUACGGGAGGCAGCAGUAGGGAAUCUUCGGCAAUAGACGAAAGUCUGACCGAGCAACGCCGCGUGAGUGAAGAAGGGUUUCGGAUCGUAAAACUCGGUUGGUAGAGAAGAACGUUGGUGAGAGUGGAAAGCUCAUCAAGUGACGGUAACUACCCAGAAAGGGACGGCUAACUACGUG